AACUGAUACUACCUGCGGGAACCUGCGGAGGGAUCAUUACCGAGUUUACAACUCCCAAACCCCUGUGAACAUACCACUUGUUGCCUCGGCGGAUCAGCCCGCUCCCGGUAAAACGGGACGGCCCGCCAGAGGACCCCUAAACUCUGUUUCUAUAUGUAACUUCUGAGUAAAACCAUAAAUAAAUCAAAACUUUCAACAAUGGAUCUCU
rnacentral:misc_RNA from 1 species